GUGUUCACUUCAGCAACACGUAUACUAAAAUUGGAAUGAUACAGAGAAGAUUAGCAUGGCCCCUGCACAAGGAUGACACGCAAAUUCCUGAAGUGUUCCAUAUUUUA
rnacentral:snRNA from 1 species